rnacentral:rRNA from 1 species
UACGGGUGGCAGCAGUAGGGAAUAUUGGGCAAUGGGCGAAAGCCUGACCCAGCAACGCCGCGUGCACGAUGAAGGUCUUCGGAUCGUAAAGUGCUUUUCUGAGAGAUGAGAAAGGACAGUAUCUCAGGAAUAAGUCUCGGCUAACUACGUGCCAGCAGCCGCGGUAAAACGUAGGAGGCAAGCGUUAUCCGGAUUUACUGGGUGUAAAGCGCGUGCAGGUGGUUUGGUAAGUUGGAUGUGAAAGCUCCUGGCUCAACUGGGAGAGGUCGUUCAAUACUACCAGACUUGAGAGCAGUAGAGGGAUGUGGAAUUCCCGGUGUAGUGGUGAAAUGCGUAGAUAUCGGGAGGAACACCAGUGGCGAAAGCGGCAUCCUGGACUGUUUCUGACACUCAGACGCGAAAGCUAGGGUAGCAAACGGGAUUAGAGACCCCGGUAGUCCUAGCUGUAAACGAUGUGAACUUGGCGUCGGCGGGUUCAAAGCCGUCGGUGCCGUAGCUAACGCGAUAAGUUCACCACCUGGGGACUACGGCCGCAAGGUUAAAACUCAAAGGAAUUGACGG